CAGCCGCCGCGGUAAUACGGAGGGGGCUAGCGUUGUUCGGAAUUACUGGGCGUAAAGCGCACGUAGGCGGCUAUGUAAGUUAGAGGUGAAAGCCUGGAGCUCAACUCCAGAAUUGCCUUUAAGACUGCGCGGCUAGCAGGUGAGAGAGGUGAGUGGAAUUCCGAGUGUAGAGGUGAAAUUCGUAGAUAUUCGGAAGAACACCAGUGGCGAAGGCGGCUCACUGGCUCAUACUGGACGCUGAGGUGCGAAAGCGUGGGGAGCAAACAGGAUUAGAUACCCGAGUAGUCCCUGUCUCUUAUAC
rnacentral:rRNA from 1 species